UUAACUCAAUACUCUAAAAAACCUAAUCUCCUCCACACUUUAGAAGACAUCCGUUUCGCUGAUCUGGAACACCCAAAAAUUUAGACCUAGGACCCUUUCUUUUUUCCUAAGAGCUCUAACCUAGACAUAAUGGAGACAAGACGAAAACCCUAGAAAAACCAGCGCUGCCACCACUCACUUACCACCGCUACCGCCCACUUCAGCCACACAAUCUCUGAUAGACCACCCCCAGAACAGGUGCCACCCAAUCCCUACACGACCAACCAUCACCCAUAACACCAGCAAACUCCAGAAGUCCCUCACAGCCCCACCAAGCCGCCGGUCACCUCUCUUACCCGAAGAGAAGAAUAACAGCACAAACCUUACCCCCAUUUUGCUUAGAUCUGCCUCCAUCUCUCUCAUUUUUCUCUGGCAGAGAACCUCCUCCAUCCUCAACGAAAAGCGCCUAAGAAUCAACCAAACUCGUCGAAAUUUGGUUGGAGAUUUUGCGUUUGGUUGGAGUCACGUCCCUCACUAGACCUUACAGUUUUUUACCGCUCUGUGCUUUGCCACUGUCUUUACCGAAUUAUUUGGCGAGUUCGAAGACAUCAAAGGUCGUAAGCUGAGGUUCUUAGGCAGGUUCACGGUCCUAGUAUAGAUUUGAAGUCCUAUUUUGCAGAAUAUUGUUGCUCGCAAGGAGAUUUUUGAUCAAGUCAAUUUUAAUCACUAUUUUAGCUCCACCUGAGGUUAAUUCUUUACUCUGUUCUUGGCUUAGUCCAGAAUUUCCUCAUGUGCAUAACUCAUGCUUGUGUGCAUUUUCUGAUUCAAUUGUUACGCUAUGUCUGAUUUUAUUUUAUCUUUUGUUUGAAUUGAAUUUCUCAAGUAUAAACAUUGUUGAAUUCUUUUCUUGUGGGUAUGUGUUGAUGCGCAAAGAAAAGUAAUAAUUUAUAUGAACUAGUAAGUGAUAUCAAAUAUAAAGCUAAAAGAAUGGGAGUCUGGUUAGUGGGAUUUAAACGGAUUUGAGCUUUGGUCAUAAUCUACACAUGUGAAUUUGAUUUAAUAUCAAUUUCACUUUAUAUCAUCAUUUUUUCAUUGCUAGUACCAUCUUUAGGUCCGGUAGCAUUUAUGUAGGCAAGCCUUAGGAUUCUAUUAUUAACGAGGCAAAAUAUCGUUCCCCUAGAUAAAUUCAUCCCGGGAAUGUCCCGAAGGAUUUAUAUAUUUUUUAUUCCGUUAAAUACCCCGCGGUAUAUGUAUUUGGAGGCCAUGACGAAGCUGUGGUACCAUAUAGUUCAUAUUAGGCGGGGACGACCUCGAGACUCUACUUUUUUUAUUUUUCUUUUAUUAGGCGGGGACGACCUCGAGACUCUUUUGUGUUUUUUAUUGUUGUGAUUUUACCUCAAUUUGAAUAUUUUAAGCCAACUAGAUUGAGUACGCAACCGUGAUUUUUACGAAACUCGGGAAAUGCCUAACACCUUCUCCCUGAGUCAAAUGAACCCCCUUAUCCUUAAUCUCUCCCCUUAUCCUGAAUCUAUAGUGCAGACUUAGUUUUGGAGUCUAAAAUGUUUUAAAAGAAAAAAUUAUCGCUACAAUGGUGACAUGACACAUUGCAAUCAAAUGUCAGGUGGCGACUCUGAAAAAUUCAUUUGAACACAAAUUUUUUUCACUUUCUAAUUAGAAAACCCUUUAGAGAUUUACAAAUCUUUUUAUUAAUUUUAAAGGGGUUAGUGAGGUGGUACAAAAAGUGUGUGACAUCUCUGGAGAGUGGCUACUCUGCUUAGGACUUGCAGGUUUGAGCUGGUACUUGAUCUUGCUAGCUUUUAAGAUAUUCAGUUGAGGUGUUUGUUUUCUUUAUUUGUUUUGUUUGUCUUAUUUCCUAGUUUUGUUGGUUAUUUAUUUAUCGUUUUUCUUAAUGUGUUACUACUUUAUAAACUAUCAUAAUUUGCAUAACCAUGGAUCAUUUGCAACAAGUCUCGGAGUACGCAUCGCAUGCACGAACUCUUUGUUUAGUCACCCUUAAUUAAGGAGGGAGGGCCAUCGGAAGUAUGGAGUGGGUGGAAAGCUUGAGCAACCACCAAUGAACAUACGCUCCCCCAAAUAACCUUGUUAGAACCCUAAACUUAGGUCAGCCUUUAGGUCAUUCUUAUUUACAUCAUGUCAUCUGGACCUAGUAGGGCUCGACCCCAUGCACCGUAUCCCUUUGUAGAAUGCCUAUCCAAAUUUUGUCAAGAAUGGGCUCGUGGCCCAAAAAGACAUUCGGUCAUCCCUAUAUGAUACAUGUUACAUCUUUGAGGGUAAAAGGUCAUUUGGCGGACCGAUGUUUCGAUAAUAAGGGUAAAAAUGAAGCAAGUAAGGUCCAAUUAUAAUUUUCUUUCACAACCUUUUCAAGAAAAGACCAAAAAUAUUUAAAAAUAAAAAAUCCAAAAAGAUUUUACACUUUUUCACUAUUUUAAGAAAAUUAAAAAAAAAGAGAAAGAAAAAAUUUAAAAAGAUUUUACAUUUUUCAUUAUUAUUUAAAAAGACAAAAAAUAUUAUUUUUUUCCAAAUUAGUGUUAUUUUAAGCUUUCUCCCAUAUCCAACCCACAUAGGGUCCGGUCUUCCUAGUGAGUCUUAGGUUAUUGGCUUCGCGGGGUCUUAUCCAAAUCUUGCAUGUCUAGCCAUUUUUGGCCGCAUCGGCCAAUCUUGCAAAAUGGGGUCAUUUUUGCAAAAAUGGUUCAAUAACACAUGUCUUUGGAUCUUAAGUUCACAAGUAGGUGUCAUAUUAUUUUAAGUCCCAUCCUUAUUGAGUUUGCACCUUUAGUCACUUCUGGCCAUAUCGGUCGUUUUUGCAAAAUGGGUCAUUUAUGCAAAUCAAUUUUGGGCCAUGAUUAUCGGGGGUUGAAUUCAUAUAAGCCAGGUAUUUCCAUAUCUUUGAGGUCACCUUUGUUGAGUUUUCACUAAUAGUUAUCCUUGGCCACAUAGGUCAAUUUUUGCAAAAGUAGCUCAAUCAUUUCUUGCAUAUGUCCAAUAGAAGAUGUUGCGGCGUCACAUGUGUCUUGAGUCACUAACUCUAUUUUAUCUUAUUUUUUCCAUUCAUGUAUGGAUCAAUUUGCUAAAUUUUGAGCAUGACAAAUACCCCAGGACCACUCUAGUCAAGACCAUUGCAUGCACGAGUUGCUUGAGGAAACUUUUUAUUUUUUAGUUUAUCUUAUGUUAUCUUUUAAAUUAGUAUUGUACAGUAGUAUCGAGUUUGUCAGUCUAGUUAAUAUUGUCGAUUCUUUCGUCAUAGUACAUCCCAUUUUGUAUUUGAAAAAAAAUUAUAAAUGAAAAAUUUAAAAAGAUUUUUUUUUGGCAAUCCACUAGGCGAAGCCUAGGGCUAGUUUUUUUAUUAAUAGAAAAAAGUAAAUUAUAACAAUUAGGAUAAAUCCUAAUAAGGGAGACAAUAUCACCGGAGUUGAUACCCAUAUAACACAACCGGUCUAACCUUACCGUAUUCAUCCUAUUGAGGCUUCAAAAACUCUUAACAAUCACACCUGCAUAAAAAAAACACCAAGAACUACUAAUGUGAUGAUAAUACACCGAGAACUAUUAAUGUGAUGUGAACUAUUUUUUCAAUAUAUCUUUAAAAUUCAUGCUUGUUCCUCGAAUGAUUAGGCUUUGUAACAGAUGGUUGCAAGAGUUGUUUCUGCUUUGCGAUUCUCAUUGGGGGUCUCCGAAUGUUAGCAUCUUCACAAAUCCUGCUAUCUCCACUUGUAUCUCUUUGACGAUACUCCAAAAACUCUUAUUUAUUUUUUAGUUUAUUUGUCCAUUACUUUUUUCAGAACUAUGCUUGAUCUGACUCAUGAGGGACAUAAUAUGUAGGGAACCUACAUAAGGUUCUAUCGAAUCAUUUUUUUAAAAACUAAAAAAAUAAAAAAUGGAAAAAAGAAAAAAGAAAAAUAGAGAUGAAAUUGUGGAUGUGAGAAAUGAGAGGAAAGAAAAGAGUGAAAAUCAAAAAGAAAAAGAGAGGAAGGAAAAUGAGCAAGCCAAGAAGUGCUAGAAAAGAAAGAAAAGAGAUGGUUAAUAUGAACAAAAUUGGAAUAAUGCCAAAUGAACUUGUGAUCCUCGAAGUCACUCUAAAACCUUUAACUGUUGCUUGGGGCAUUGCACGCAAUGUGAUAUUUGUAUAUGAUACAUUAUGCUAAUAUAUUGGCUUUGUUUUGCUCUUCUUUGUUACUUUCACUAUAACAGAGGGUGGUUAGUUUGUGGAACUUUGGUGAUUUAUCCAUACAACAUAAGGUCAAAAAGAAAGGAAGCCAUGGCAAGCAAAGACUUGGAUACAUGAGUUGUCGACCCCUAGGGGGAGAUUGUAGAGUCGGAAUCUGAAUUGAAAGAGGGGGUCCAAAGGCUGAAACAACAAAUAUCUGAAUGAGUUAAGCAUGGGCCAAUGGUCAAAGACCACCCAUUCUUAUGUUUUUCCAGAGUUUACACCCAUCUCGACUACUACCACUCCGGUUUCAUUGUCUGAUCAAUUAUAUCCAGUUAGGUUCAGCAUUUAUCCUAAUUGUACGACUAUAAAUGGAACUUCUAUUGCACAUUUCCAAAGUGUGUCAUUGACAACCAAUCAAACAACUACUACAGUUGUUCCUAUCUUCACCAUCCCACAGCCGACGGUGGUGCAGAGGAAAACUCAUGAGUCAUAACUUUCUACCCAUCAAGAACAAUACCACUCUCUUGAGUACCAUUCUUACCUAUUUGAUCUUCCUGCAAAGAUUAAAAUGUUUGGCCCAAAGAUAGCAUCGAAAGAAAUAAACCAAAGACUGAAAAGCUUAGAACAAUAGUUGAAAAACAUACAAGGGCUGGCAGGUCAGAAAAGUAUUGCCUUCAAGGGUCUAUGUAUGUUCCCCGAUGUUCGUUUGCCACUUGGUUUCAAGACUCCCAAAUUUAAAAAGUAUGAUGUACAUGGAAACCCCGUAACCCACCUGAAAAGGUAUUGCAAUAAAUUAAGAUGUACGAGAGUAAAUGAAGAAUUACUGAUAGUUUAUUUUGGGGAAAGCCUUACGGGUAUAGCCUCCGAAUGGUUUCUGGGUCAAGACAUAUCUUGCUGGUAUGUAUGGGAUGACAUGGCCCAUGCCUUUGUUAAACAGUUCCAAUAUAACACUUGAAUCACCCUGGACCGUCAUUCCGUCUCAAAUCUAAAGAAGAAACCAACUGAAAGCUUCAGGGAAUAUGCCAUUAAAUGGAGAGAACAAGCAGCUAGAGUUAAGCCACCCAUGGAUGAACACAAGCUAAUCAUUGUCUUCCUUCAUGCUCAAGAGCCCGAUUAUUUUCAAAACAUGAUGUCCACACUUGAAAAAUCAUUCUCAGAAGAAAUCAAAAUGGGAGAAAUGGUAGAGAAUGACCUUAAGAAAGGCAAAAUUAUUAUUCAAGUAACUCUCAAAGCUGCAACUUGGGCUGUCCAAAUUGAAUCUGGUAAUCUUAGUGAAAUGAAUGAUAAAGUUGAAGAAAUCAUGAUAACAUCAGGGUCGAGAAGAGGUCCUAGAAGAACAUCUCGAAGGUAUGACUAGCCUCAUUUGUUUUUUGACGAUUCCCCUGAGAACCCACAACACUUUGUUGCUCCACUCUAGUAUUUUGUCCAGCCACCAAGACACCCAGAAGUCCAGCGCCGACACACAAUCUCCACCAGCCUCCACAAAAUUUUCAAGUUCCCCAUAACCCACAUCCAAGCUAGGGGUAUAAAGGUACCAACAAUGUUAAAAGCUUAUAUAGAUACUUAAAACAAUGUAUUAGGAAGCAUUUAGGCCGAAGAAAUAGGCGAAAAAAGUUCUGGAGAGAGCUGUGUGAAGCUACUGUUUUUGAACAAAAACUGGGACUGCCAGCCUUAAGCCUUCGCGUUCACGAGCUACUGCUAUGUUCGCGAUGUGAAAAAAAAAAUUUCCAGCUUUUGGGCUUCGCGUUCGCGACUGGCCCACGCGUUCGCGAAGGUUUACAUUAUUCUUCACUGUACAUUGGCCUUCGCGUUCGCGAAGGCUACUUCGUUGCCCAGAAAUUUUCUUCUUCUUUGAGGCAUUUUUUCAAACAUGUGAAGAGCACACAAUUAUUUUCCCAUUUACAGAACAUUGUUACACUAUUUUCACCCAAAAUAUUCUCCCAAAUCAAGCACUCACUCUCAACCAAUCACACCCAUCAAGCAACAAACUAAUUUAAGCAAAUAUUUCGCCAAUUAAUGCUCAAAUCUUAAGACCUAAUGAACAACUGUGGAAGCUCUUCCAUUUUUCAAAAUUCAAAGUAAGAAAAGAGAAGAAAAAUUAAGAGGAGAGUGUAGACAUUACAUACCUUGAGAGUGGAGGUGAAGAAUUUGCAAAAAAACUUGAAGAUUUUAUUCUUUGACAUUUGUUUGGGCUUAAGGGAAUAGAGGGAGGCAAUGUUGAACCAAAAAUGGGGGUGUUUGAGGUCUCCUGGGUUAUUUUACGAAUUAAAACUGUCAGUCCUUACUCGACCCUUUGCAUUUGCGAGGGCCCUACGCGUAUGCGAAGGGUGAAAAUGUCCAGAAGCAUCGCGAACGCGCCACCACUACGCGAACGCGUAGCUUAAAGUUCUCAAUUUCUUGCGAAGUCGAGUUAAUGUUGCGAACGCGUAGCUUAAACUCUUUCUGCACUGGAAUAGUUCUGGCAACUACUGGUUUUGUCCCUCCGGACCAUCCCGACUUACUCAAAUCCACUCCAAAACUUCUGAAACUUGGCAGAUUAGUGCAAAAUAAUAUUCUAAGAUAUUUCAAAAAAUAAAAUUUCAAAAACGACUAAAAUAUUUGAAAAACGAUGGGUUGCCUCCCACCAAGCGCCGCAUUUAACGUCGUGGCACGACGCAAACNNNNNNNNNNNNNNNNNNNNNNNNNNNNNNNNNNNNNNNNNNNNNNNNNNNNNNNNNNNNNNNNNNNNNNNNNNNNNNUACGCAAACAACAUUACCACUUUUCUCGCCACUUGGAUGAUAUGAACUGGGCACCUAGCUUGUAAUCAAGCUUGUUACCACGAGCGAUUGGGGGUGGUAAGUUUAUGAUUGAGCCAAUGCUUGAAUUUUUAAUUUUGCACUUCUUGGCUCGAAUGUGAGGAAUGCCAUUUUGUUUUCUUGCUUCCUCAAAUUGUAAGAUAUAUGGCUUGAGUUUUUCCUCACCGCACUCCUUCAUUGAUUCAUGAAGUUUAACUUCCGUGUCACCACACAAUUCCAACAUUGAAAAAUGCUUGGAAUGUGACUGCAAACCUCCAACUUGCAAUUUUCCUUGGAUUUUGACAUCCUCUUUUUCCCUGAGAUUAGAGUCAAUUUCCAAAGAUGUUUCAUUUUCACCGGAUGACUUUAAUUCCAUUUUUUUCUUGGCAUCGUUAAAAUUCAUGGGGUCGAUUGGCGGAUGUUCCAUUCUUGACUCUUCAAUUCUUAGCUCACCUUCUUCCUUAUUUUCAAGAAUGGUCUUCAAUAUGAGCAUCAUUUUCUCAUUUUGAGCAUUUGAGAGCUCUUCUUGAUUUUGAUCAAGUGCCAAANNNNNNNNNNNNNNNNNNNNNNNNNNNNNNNNNNNNNNNNNNNNNNNNNNNNNNNNNNNNNNNNNNNNCAAAGAAUUUUGGAGACUAUUUUUCAAAAGCUCCUCCAAGGCACUGUGUUCUUUGCUUCCUUCUUCAAGUAAGCACUCCAAUAUGAGCUUGAAUUCUCCAUUUCGGUCAUGCUCAACUUUUUCUAUUUCAAUAGCCCUAUCAUUUUCAUCAAAACAAUAGAAUCAUCAUAGAGGGGGCUUGGGGAAAAGAAGGAUCAAUAUACAAAAUGACUCAAUGACCAUUUUGACAACCACAUCUAUUACAACUACUCCACUCAUGGGUUUGAGAUUGUGCGCACAAUCCACCCGGGAGAAUUUAAACAAUUUUGCCACGAGUGUGGUCCUCCACAAUAAGGACAAGGGUCAUCUAAGUAUGAAAAAUUACCAUCCAACUAAUUUUUAUUAUAAGAUGCCAUUUUUUACAAAACAAAAAAAAUAUGUAAACAACAAAAAAACAAACAAAAUAAUCACAAAAAUAUUCACAAGUUUGUACUAAAGCAUUUUUGCUUACUUCUCAAACAACCUAAUGUACACAACAUUGUCCCCGGCAACGACGCCAAAAUUGAUGUCGUCCAAACACAAUGCUUAAAAGCAAUAGAUAUGGUCGAUCGCAAUGUAAUUUACCCAACUAAGAGUCGGGGUCGAAUCCACAGGGACAAUGUGAAGGCGACAAGGGAUGUAGGAGAAUUAUCGCUUAUGGUGCAAAACCAAACGGGUUAAUGAAAUGUGUUUGGAUUUAUAUUGAUUUAACUGCGGAAAUAUAAACUAUUCUAGAAAGCAAGUAAAAUGGUCAAUGGCUACAAGGAUGGUUGCAUCGGAAUUACAUAUCAAGUAACGAUCCAAUGUAUUUUAUAUCCCUUCCAAUAAUAGUCACAAAGGUAUGCCUAGUUGCUUCUAUCAAUCGUGAACUUUCUACUUAUCAUAAGUGAUCCAAUGUAUUUAAUAACCAUUCCAAUAAUGGUCACAAAGGUAUGCUUAGUUCUUCUAUCAAUCGUGAACUCUCUACUUAUCAUAAAUCUCUCUCGAUAAUUAUAAUAAAUUACUAGACGCACUCCAUCGAGCUACGUUAGCUAGUUUCGCAUAACGGUUCACUUAGAUUGCACCCGAGGUAUCACUAUCUCUAAUCCAACCUCUAAACCCUCAGUUAUGACUCUCGUUUAUACUCCGGGAGUGAUGUUGUUCAACAACUACCUAAAUAUGUAUUCUCUCUCGAGUAGAUACACUCUAAAUAGGCAUGUUAAUUGAAAUCUCUUUCAAUUAACUAACAAUAAUUAUGUAGUUGAACAAAUAAAUAUUCAAUAAGUAAAACCUAUGUUAGCAAUACAAGAACUUCAAUUAAUACAUAAGCACAGCAAGGUAUUAAAUCCACACUUUAAUUUUGAAUAUUUUCAUAAACAAGAUUAAAUUUGGAAAUAAAUACUACACACUUAGAUUUAAAAUACAAAGCAAGGAAAUGAAGAAAUAAACAUAAUUGGGUAAGAAAAUCUUAACCACAAGCAUCAAUCUUCAAGACCCAAGUGUGUUUGUGCAAGAACCCUAGCUUUCUCCUUGUUAUCUCUAGUCUCUAUGGACUGAAAAUAAGCCAAAGAUUCAUACAAAAUGAAUUGAUUUGGGUAUAAAAGUAUUUAGGGUCAAAUUGUGAAAUUCCAUAACUACCCUUGCUUCCAAGGCAAAUAAGCCUUCGCGUUCGCGAUGGCCCUACCCGUUCGCGAUGAAUUAUUGACUUCUGAACUUUGCGUUCGCGGUAUGACCACGCGUUCGCGAAGUGUUGACUCUGCUCCUUGACUUUCUGACCAUCGCCUUCGCGUUUUACCUACGCGUUCGCGAAGGACACUAUUCUUCUUCAACGCAUUCGCAUUGCUUAUACGCAUUUGCGAAGCUUAUCUGGGCCUGACUCAUCACGUUCGCGAUAUCACUUCGCGUUCUGAAGAGAAAUUAACUGGGUAGCUUCAUUUUGCCCAUUUUAAUUGCGUUUUGGCUUAUUUUCACUUGGUUCCUUCCCCAUCACCUGUAAAAUAGAAGUAAACGACAUUAAAACGUGCGAAUUUUAUCACUCAACACAUCAAUAGUAUAGGAUUAAAGGCAAGAUAAGUGGAUAUUUUACCCACUUAUCAGUAACUGAGCUGUGGCAACGCUGGUUUUUCUAGGGUUUUAGUCUUGUCUCUAUUAUGUCUAUGUUAGAGCUCUAAGGAAGAAGAAAGGGUCCUAGGCCUAGGUUUUUGGGUUCUUCAGAUCAGGAAAACGACUGUCCUCUCAAGUGUGGAGGAGGUUAGGAUUUUUUUGGGUAUCAGGUUAAUAGGCUAAGGGAAAAAUUCGAAAAUGGGCCUAAAAUUGGACUUAGCAAGACACAAAACUGGUCCAAAAUUCAUUCAUCUUUUUUGAGGGUAAAAUAAAAGUAUCAUAGAUAACAAAAAUAUAAUUAAUAAUUGACUUUAACUGGAAUGGAAUUUAUAUAAGAUUAUUUUUUCCAAAGACUAUACUAAAAAUUGGAUAAUUAGAUUAAAAUCAUCACAAAAUUAAAAUAAUAUUACUACCGAAACACUAACAUCCUUGAAAACAAAGUUAAACUAUUUUUUGUAUUUUUAAAUUUUAUGAAAGAUAGAUAAACCAAAAGUAACAAGAUACAAUAUCAAUUAUCUAAAUAAAAGAAAAUAUUUUUGUAAUUUUUAUUUUUGUGAUAAAAUAAAGUAAUAUAGUUAAAACUAGGUGAAAUAGCGAUACUAGGCCUAAACUGAAUAUGUAAAAGCUAAUAUGAGUAAAAAUACGGGGAGGGUAAAAAAUCACAUGUCUACCGCUGCCCCUUUUUGACCUGAAAUAUGAAGUAUUUUCAGACAAAGAAUGACAAAACAGGUUUUUUGACACGACCCUUAUUUAGGGAGACCAAAAACUAAGAGGAAGGAGAAUAUGACCGAGCCCUGGUAUCUGAGCUUCCUACAUAUCCUUGGCUAUAAAGGAAUCAGUUCAUGUAUAAUUCAAAAGUGAAUAAGGUUAUGGAGUAUACUAAGGUGGAGAGCCGGUAAGGGUGUCGUUCCGUCAAGGUUCCGAUCCGCGCUCUUAUUAUUACAUCAAAAUCAAAAAUGAAAAAGACUAACUAAGCCUGUCAACUAUGAAUUACAUGAUUCAUAUCUAUAAAUCUUCUGACUCUUGAACUUGAGUCUUGAAUGGUUCUUCAUGCAGACUUUAGAUUUGAACCUUGAUGCUUGCUAGUUAUAGGUGCUAGUUCAUUCUUCUUCAUCUUUUCAUAUCAAAAUCGGAUACACCAUGCAUGUGAGAUUAGUCAAGUCUUAAGCAAUCCGCCUCUUGUAUUAGCUUCUGCAUUUUGGAUUCACUUCCUUUUUUUUUCUUCCUUCUCUUUUUGUAUUGAGAUUACUUCUGUUGAUCAUCUCGCAUUGUAGACUCACAUUCUUGCCUCGAGCUUCUGCUACUUCUAACUUGAAUUGGAUUUUGAAAUGACUUCACUUGUUCUCCAGGUGGGCGCUUACUGCUGACUUGAAAUUUGAAAUGACUUCCUUCGUUCUCCAGGUGAGCUCAUGUGACUAACUUGAAAUUUUAAAUGAAUUUUCUCAUUCUCCAGGUGGGUGCCUAUGACAUACUUAAAAUUUGAAAUGGAUUCCCUCGUUCUCUAGGUGGGCGCCUGCGAUUAAAGCAACAAAACAAACAAAAUUUUCUGCCCCAUUUUGCACUAGGAAGAUUUGUGAGUUGUUAGCAAAACUAUGAACCACUUAUGCUAUUGAUGUAAUGAUGAGAGUAAAACUAAAGACUUGACUGGGAUGUGCGUUUCCUAUGAAUUAAAUCAAUAAUAAUUUACUAGCAAGUGAGUCUGCUAAGAAAAAACCUCAAUGACCCAGACUAGGAAGUGAGUUUCCUAUAUUUAGGAUUAAGCUUGAGGAAAGCUAUAUACUAAGCUUGACUAAAGUAAAAACUGACCCUAUUCUCCAAGAGGGACCUCUGAUUUCAAGAAAACUAAAGAUUAAUAAGAAAAAUAAAGAUUGAUCCUAGGAUAAAGUUCAUCGGACUAGGAUUUUCUAUCCUAGGAGAAAAAUUUAUUAGACUAAUAUUUCGAUCCUAGGAGAAACUUCAUCAGACCAAGUCUCUUAUCGUAGGAGAAAGAUUUAUCAGACUAAGAUUUUGAUCCUAGGUUUCUUAUCUUAGUAGAAAGGUUCAUCAGACUAAGAUUUUAUCCUAGGAGAAAAUUUAUCAGAGUAGGUUUUCUUAUCUUAGGAGAAAGAUUCAUCAGACUAAGAUUUUGAUCAUAGGAGAAAAUUCAUCAGACUAGGUUUCUUAUCUUAGAAGAAAGAUUCAUGCCUUCGUCAUACCAAAUUCAAGAAAAAUAAGAGGAUAAAAAUAAGGGACAAGGGAAAGAGAUGACACCUAACAAGAAAAUUACAAAGUCGAAACUUAUCAAAUGUGGAUACCAAUUCUAAUGACCAUGACAUGCACCUUUGGAUUAAGUUGCUCAAUCUCUCAAGCAAUUCUAAUGUUCAACUCUUGUUGUACCUCUUUGUUGUGAAACUGGGUUUCAUCGCUUCAAUUAUCCCAUCUGAUCCACAAUCCUCAGUCGACUUGUAGUGCCCUGUAGGGUUUUCACCAUCAAACCUCUCUUAUUUUUCUCUUUUCUCAACUCACCGUCGCCUUACGGUGCCUCUGAGGGUUUUUACCGAUAAGACUCUCAUUUUAUUAUUUUCUCUCUUUGUGCUGAGAACAAAGUACUAUCCAUGAUUUAGGAAGAUCAUACUUUCACCACAAACUUGAUUCGGCAUCCUCAAAGAUUGGUCGAAAGGUCUUUCUUUGGAGCGUAAUGUAGGCUUUUGGACAUGGUUAGAAAGAAAAGGUGGCAUGAAGGCUCAAAAUAAUUUAAUAUGAAAGGGUUCAAAUUACAACUUUUGGAAUCAGAUCUUUUGUUAAAAUUAAAACUUCUGCCCCAGUUUCUGGAGUCUACGGAUUUUUUUUUUUGUAUGGACUUUCCCUUUGAUGAAAAUUUCUAAGAAAGAAUGCCCCAUUGUUGACUUUGUGGGAUUAUGAAAUAUUUUAUUUGGUGUGACCGAAUCGUAAGGCUGCCUACGUAUCUUGUGGUGACAAGAAUCAGGUCGAACAUAGUUCAAAUACAAAGUUGGGUUUUUUUCCUUUUCUCUUUUCUUUUUACCUUUUUAGUUCCCAACUCUACUUCUGUUUCCAAAAGAGGGGCAUGGAACAAAGCAAAUUAAGGCUCAAAAAGGGGUAGGAAAAGAUAAAAGUGUUUGGGUAACAGAAUAAAAUGUCUUCGUCAUACCAAACUUUAAAAUUGCCAAGUACAAAGAUGUAAUUGAAGAUAAGCAAAGAAAUCAUAUAUGUUAUCUAUUGACGACAUCAACACAAACAAAAAGUGCCAAUGGGCAAUAUCUUUGUCCCAAUGAAUGAACCUUGCCAGUUCGAAGCAAAUUUGACUCAACCUUAUGUUGAUGUGGAAGAAUGCAUUUGAGCACUAACUGAUUUACCUCAAACUGCUUAAGAGACAUUUCCUUGUUGUAUGCUCUUAUCAACCUCCUGAUUUUCCAGACUUACUGCCUCAGUUUCACUCAAUUCAAGCUUUAAGUCAUCUCAGAAUACGUGAACCUCUACUUGUUUCCUCAAAUGACUCUUUUAUAAUGUUCAAAACUAUGUCGUUGCUUUACGAUUAGACUAACUUUCAAGACCAGACCGAGAAUUAUACGUGCAUGUCAUGUCACUAGAGUCAGGAUGAAAAGAACUAUAAAAGAAAAAGUGACCUAAACAAAAACUUAACAGGAAACAAGAGAUUGCAUUAGGAAGAUGGUGAAAAGAAUUUGAUCAAAACAAGUAAAAUAGACAUGCGUUACAACCCUGGAACAAUCCUAUAUAACACUAGAAGAGUUACUACCCCUAAACGAACUAGGAAAAUAAGAGGCAGAAAGGUUUGAGCCAACAAGACAAUUUCCGGAUUACAACCCUAAAAUAACCUAGACAAACAGAAAUGACAACAAAAUAAACUACCAAAACUCCUCCCCGUCUAGCCAGAAAAGGAAUGUCUUUCCAAUUACCAAGCUCGACAUCUUAGCCAUUGGGUUGCAUAUCAAAAUUACUGGGACCUUUACCAAUUUAAAUAUCAUUAACUUCAGUCAGCAAGUUCCCAAGGGGAUUAUUAUACUCCCUAUCACCAUGCAUCCUCCCCACAAAGUGUGUAUCAUCAUGUACAUGUUAAGGAUUUUGCACGAUGUUUUGGGUGUGACUGUCCUGGAUCACAAUUAUCUCUUCUUGAAUCUUUCUUUCUAUAUCUCUUUUCAAAUCCCGACAACUUUCGACAUUGUGCCCCUGGGCAUUGGAAUGGUAUUCAAACCUUUUAUAAUGGUCAAAACUUCUUGCACGUGGGUCCACAUGAUUAUGAGGAAUAGGUGCAAUUAGGUCAUAAUGCUUUAAUUUCUCAAACAAGCUUGCAUAGGACUCUCCCAUCGGUGUAAAAUUAUUUUUCAACCUCUGUUUUGUAGGUGAUUUGAACUUAAAAUAAAGCCAGAUCAACAAGAAAUAAUUGCCCAUGACU
rnacentral:lncRNA from 1 species